GAUGAAGAACGCAGCGAAAUGCGAUACGUAAUGUGAAUUGCAGAAUUCAGUGAAUCAUCGAGUCUUUGAACGCACAUUGCGCCCCCUGGUAUUCCGGGGGGCAUGCCUGUCCGAGCGUCAUUGCGGCCCUCAAGCACGGCUUGUGUGUUGGGCCUCCGUCCUCCUCCCGGGGGACGGGCCCGAAAGGCAGCGGCGGCACCGCGUCCGGUCCUCGAGCGUAUGGGGCUUCGUCACCCGCUCUUGUAGGCCCGGCCGGCGCUUGCCGACACAUCAAUCUUUUUUCCAGGUUGACCUCGGAUCAGGUAGGGAUACCCGCUGAACUUAAGCAUAUCAAUAAGCGGAGGA
rnacentral:misc_RNA from 1 species